GAAAUGCGAUAAGUAGUGUGAAUUGCAGAAUUCAGUGAAUCAUCGAAUCUUUGAACGCACAUUGCGCCCCUUGGUAUUCCAUGGGGCAUGCCUGUUCGGGCGUCAUUUGUACCCUCAAGCUCUGCUUGGUGUUGGGUGCUUGUCCCGUCUCCGCGCGUGGACUCGCCCCAAAGUGAUUGGCAGCCGGCGUACUGGUCCCGGAGCGCAGCACAUGUCGCGCAAACGAGUGCCUUGGUACGGCGGCGUCCAUAAGCCCCUCUCUCACGCUCUUGACCUCGGAUCAGGUAGUGAUACCCGCUGAACUUAAGC
rnacentral:misc_RNA from 1 species